UACGUAGGGUGCAAGCGUUGUCCGGAAUUACUGGGCGUAAAGAGCGUGUAGGCGGCCCGAUUAGUCUGCUGUGAAAGUCCAGGGCUCAACCCUGGAAUGCCGGUGGAUACUGUCGGGCUAGAGUCCGGAAGGGGCGAGUGGAAUUCCUGGUGUAGCGGUGAAAUGCGCAGAUAUCAGGAGGAACACCAAUGGCGAAGGCAGCUCGCUGGGACGUGACUGACGCUGAGACGCGAAAGCGUGGGUAGCAAACAGG
rnacentral:rRNA from 1 species